rnacentral:lncRNA from 1 species
UUGUAACCAUUUGAGUUCGACUUUGGGACUUCAAUUAUCCAUUGUGAGAGGGUAAAUUGAAUUCAAGUAUCUAAUAAAUUCAGCAAAAUCAUUCUCUGAGCGAAUCUCUACAAAGUAAGAUUGGUGAACCCGAAUUGUAUUAAAAAAUAUUGUAUGUUAAUCCUCUCCUUACUUUGCUUAUUUCUUUACUUUACCUUAAAAUUGUUUCGUCCAAGUUGUUCUAUCCCGACUUGUGUUUCAACAUCAAUUAGAACAAUACAUUAGAACAAGUGUAAACUGAAGGUUUUUUCACUUGUAUGUAGAAAUAGAAAGGUUAAAAUAGGUCCUAACUCCCUGUAUUUUUUGUAUAUUUUAAAUUUUGUCUCUCUACUUUUAUUUUCA